CGACUAGUAGUUUUAAACAGAAGCUUAUUAGUAAAUGUAAUCUUGAUGAAACGCAUCUAUUUUGGGCAGACAUAACCUCAAAGGAGCAAUGCAAACAGUGGAUUACAGAGUUCUCCGCAAAUGAGACAGCAUGGGUGCUGCGUACCUCUAAAUUAGCUUCAAAAAAGAUUGUUUGCAGAAUGGAAUAUGUCUGUCAUCAGGCAUCAUUUGAAAAAUCACAAUCCACAAGAAAGAUAUCAAAAAAUUCGACUGCCAAGCAGCAAUUGUUAUUGUUGUAAAAGCUCAAACAAAGUGGAGUACGUACAAAAAUGAACAAAUAAAGAACAAUUUGCCGGCUCUAAUAACAAUUAAAAAUAAACACGCUCAUGCUUUAAACAAUGCAGUUGCGCUCAGUUAUUUACCUGCAUCGGAAGGAGUAAGAAAUGCAUUUGAAACAUAUUUUGGCAAUGGCAUGGGCAUAACAGAAGCUAUUCACUUUCAUUCUCACAAAUUGGAGCUUGAGAUGGAUGAAACAAAUAUCGCCAAUGCAUGAGUGAAUCCAAAAUAUAGAUCAGUAAAGUAUUGGUAUACAGAAUGGAGAAAAAUAAAUUAUGGGAUACGAACUGAAGUUGGAUCCUUAGAGGUAAAUGAAUUAAUGAAAUCCUUCCAAUAUACAGAGUGAUCCAGUAUCGAGUCUCACGACUGUGCAACUUUGCCAUAAUUUAACCAACUGUACCUUCUAUGGUUUAUGCUUUCAAAAGGGCGAUUUUCCACACCCAUAAAAAAUUGAAGCUUAAGGAAAAAGCCGCGGAAUAUGAGAAGCUUGGAAUAUUAUUGCAAACUACAGACGAUCCAUUUACAGUUGUAAUUAUAACAUCCAUAAUGCAAAGAAGCCACAAACUACCAGCUACAAAAGACAUCAUAUUUAUUGACAGUACAUCCUCUGGUGAUGCAGAAAAUCAUGUAAUAACGUUCAUUUUGACGGUAACUGUAGCUAGGGCUGUACCUCAAGGAAUUUUUAUUAUCAAAAACCAAACCAUAUCUGAUUACGUAUUUGGUUUAAAUGGAAUAAAAUUGAUUCUUGGGAACGAAGCUUUUGGAGAUUCUUGUUUAAGAUAUAUUAUGACGGACGAUAGUAAAGCGGAGAGGCAAGCAUUAAGUCAAGUAUUUCCAGAGUCGAAACUUUUGCUAUGCUCUUUUCACGUGUGGCAGUCAAUAUGGAGAUGGCUUUGCGAGAAGAAGCAUAAUAUUGAAAAAACGACCGACCAGCAUUGUACGAUAGUUUCAAAAAUAUACUGAGGUCUUCUAACGCUGACAUGGCAGAAAGUAGCUUCGAAUCUAAAUUGAGCAAUAACACUGCUGUAAAAUAUCCCGCUUGGAUUAUGUACGUGAAGAAUUACUGGAAACGCCGACUUUAUUGGUGCGUACUUGCAUACAGAAAUGCAAGUACGCAUAGUCACUAAACAAAUAAUUUUUCUGAAAUAUCUGUCAGGCUGUACAAAAAUAUUGUGUUAAAUCGAUGCAAGGCCUACAAUAUCGUGGCCUUAGCUGGUUUUACAUGUACUGUGCUGGAACAAUACUAUUUUCGACGUUUAUUGAAUUUUGCUCACGGACGAAUAAAUGGGAGUAGGGCCAUUUUCAAAAAAGAAAUGAAAUAAGCAUCUUAUUUGACAAAAAAAGACAUAGUUCUUGUUGAAAAAUUCUCAUUCAAUGUACCAAGCAGUAGCAGUAAUAAACUAGUUUACGAAGUCGACAUGCAAAUGGGUCAUUGCACAUGCGAGGUUGGAAGGCUGGGAAACUUGUGUAAGCACCAAACUGCCGUUUUUUUCAUUAUUUCAAUGUCGUUUCAUGUACAACGGAAAAAAGAUUUGCAAUGGCUGUAUUGGCCUUGGGACAAAAAGCUAAGUCAAAGGAGUUUUACGCUCCUCUUGUUGAAACAACGAGCAGCGAUAAAGAUUCCUUUCGACCAUGCUCUUCUAAUUUUGAAG